rnacentral:piRNA from 1 species
UCCUGCUUUAUUUUUAUUAUUAUCAUCAUCA